UAAUGCUAUCGAUUUAUAUUAUACGGAGUACUAUGAUUGUCUUUCAGGUAAAAGGCGAUCUUCGAAGCUGCAUUAUAUUCGUUGUAAACUGGGAUUCUGGCUUUGCACUUGUUAAUUGGCUGUGAAAAGGCCCUUGCACUUGUUAUCUAAGCCCUUUCAUCUUCGUUAAUUAAAGCCUUAAUUGAUAUUAAAACGAGCAGCAGCAGCAACAACAACAACAACAACAACAACCAACAAAAUUUGGAAGUAUGCAAUUAGCACCAGCUUUGGGGCUGCUCCUUGUCCUUUGCUCUGUGUUUUCUUUUGCUGCUGAUCGAGAUCAUGAGGAGCAAGCCUUAAAAGGAGAUCAAAGGAAUCGAAACUACAAGAAGAAUGAACAAAAAGCAAGAAAUUGAUGUUUGAGUUUUUCCCUUUUUAGGGAAUUGAAGGUGUUUGCAGAACACGAAAACAUUUGUUUUUAGUCAGUUGAUAAUGACAAGAUUGGUUUAUGUAAUUUUUUGAAUUCAUGAAAGUAGUCAAAUUGUGAUACUACAAAGUUUAAAGA